rnacentral:sRNA from 1 species
GAUGUUGAAUUUGGAAAUUCGAGGGGACGCUGGUGGACGGAUUGGGUGCAAGGAGUUGGUGUUGAUGGAGGAGCAGGACGCCAGAGUCCCAGCCCUGGAACCAUUCAGAGUGGAGCAGGCACCACCUGUAAUCUACUAUGUCCCUGACUUCAUCUCCAAAGAAGAGGAGGAGUAUUUGCUUCGACAGGUUUUUAAUGCCCCAAAGCCAAAGUGGACCCAGCUCUCUGGGAGAAAGUUACAGAACUGGGGUGGGCUUCCUCAUCCCCGGGGGAUGGUUCCUGAGCGGCUGCCCCCAUGGCUCCAGCGCUACGUGGACAAAGUGUCAGACCUCAGCCUCUUUGGAGGCCUCCCAGCUAACCAUGUCCUCGUGAACCAGUAUCUGCCUGGGGAGGGCAUCAUGGUAACCACACACCCUCGGCCAGUGUCCCCCCACUCAGACUUCUGAGCUGUGCUGGGGCAGGGGACCCUGUGCCCACCCUCACUCAUUAGGCAGCCACAUCUCCCAAACAGGCAUUCACCUCCCUGUCCCUGGCUUGGGAAGCCCCACUUUGACCCAGAGGGUGGGGGUUGUGGACUCCUGCCCUGCCCAGCCCUGGUGCCCACUCCUCAGCCCCACGAGGACGGACCACUGUACUACCCGACUGUCAGCACCAUCAGCCUGGGCUCCCACACCGUGCUAGACUUCUACGAGCCACGGCGGCCAGAGGACGAUGACCCUACAGAACAGGUGGGCCCCAGACACUGCCCCAACUGCUUGUAGGCACUUCAACCUCGCACAUCCUCCAAGAUGACCUGGUCCCACGUGCCUUCGGGGUACUCCUGGCACUCUCCCAGAUACCUUCCCUUGUCCCCUCACGGGGUAUACCUUCUUCCUCCCAGACAGCCCAUCUGCUUACAGGGUGCCCCACAUGCCAUGAUUUCCACAGGCUCCCCGAUGCCCCAACCUGCUAAGUGGAUGCCCCUGACUCCCCAGCAGACACUGAUAUCCUAAGAUA